GAGACAAGCAUAUGACUACUGGCAGGAUCAACCAGGUAGCAUUCCACAUCGACUUUCGGUACUGCUCGGGAAAACCAAAACAACAUCGAUUGUCAUUCUUAAGAUGUGCGGGACGCAUUAAUGGGGCAAAUAGAGAUAGAUGGCUCCUCAUACCCACGUGGUGCUCCAUGACCGAGAUAACAAGCGAAUUGCCAUUGAUCCAACAACCCAAUGACACUGAAGUCAUGGGCAUUUGUAAUUGAGAAUUUCUUCGAGGUUCACCCCAUGCCACAAACCCGAAGGCUCGCAACGAAGAGCAAAAGCUUACUUAAUCCAACAAAUUCCAUCUCUUUGGUAAUUAGUCACAGGAAACGAAGCUCGGCCAAGAUAGUUUUACUACUCUUGAACGUGUCACCGAAAAGGCGUGCCGGACAC
rnacentral:misc_RNA from 1 species